UUAUCACUUGUAGCCGAUCCCUUCGGAAGUCAUCUGCUCCAAGUGAAUUAUGAAGACGCCAGUUUUGGGAUAUGCAUUCUCAAGUUUCAUGACGAACUGCUUUGGUGUUCCAGCAGUUUUUUUGUGCCUCAGUGUGUAAAGAGACAUUGUGAAGAAAAGUAAGCAGACGAACAGUGCAUUUUCAUCGCAAGUUUGACGGUGCUUAUUUCAAAAGGUGAUUUAAAAAAAAUGAUAAUGUCAAAAUAAGGAUGCCCGGUUACUAGAACUGCUCACAUUCAUUUACUUGGAUGCACAUACAUUGCUUUGCCUUUUUUUACAGAAAAGACGUGUUUACCUGCACUGGUGUCACCUCCAAUUGAAGAACAGCAGCUAGGCUGGAUGGGUCGGUGACAUAGAGGCUCUCCUGUACUUGACUGUUGUCUCCAGUAUCCAUUGCAGCCUGGUAGCAAGAGCACAUGCCAGCCAUUUCCGUUUAAACUUCAAUUGCAACCACUGUAUGCUUAUAACACAAUAAAAGUGUUGGGUGAAUUGCACAUAGAAUAGAUGCUCACCUGCGCA